rnacentral:lncRNA from 1 species
UGGUUUUAGAAGGGAGUUAGGAUGGUAUGGUGGUGCGGCAAGGGGUAUGGGUGUGUAUGGAGGUGUAGAAUGGUGUAUGGAAGUGUAGAAUGGUGGCUGGAGUUGUAGAAUGGCUGCGGCACAGAGUGGGAAGUGGCUGGACGAAUUUCUGAAUUAUGGAGAGGGUGAUGUCCCUUGCGGCUAGGGUGUAGAAACAUAUAUAUAGGCACUUAAAAACCCUAGCAAAUCAGAUUAGGGCCUUUAAAACACAAAUCCAUCAGAAAAAUAGGUUAAGCAAUCAGAAUUUUAAUGAGCAAAGGCCUAGGGUUCGGCAAUUAAGUGGGCUAGGGCUAGGGUUUGUAAAAUAGGCCUUCUAGAAUGGAAAGGUGCGGCAUAGGCUUAGGGUCCACAAGGAGUUCGGGUUUAGGUCGUCUAAAAGCCCAAAGCCAAGAAUAGAAACUCUCGAAAUUGGAAACCUCCAAGAAUAGAAACUUCCAACUUUAGAAACUUUGGUUGCCAAUUCCGAUUUAGGAAAGAUCAACCCAAAAUGGAAACUUUAGGCUUAGCUUUCCUACAUCAAGUAGGAAACCUCAAAUCUUCAACUCUUCAAUUCCAUCCCAACCUUGUGUUCCAAGCAUGUCAUUUUCAAUCCAAGCUCACUUUUUGCUCCAAAGCUCCAACUUGCAUCAUUUCAUGUAAUACGUCCUUUAACCUGAAAACACAUGAAAGUAGCUUAAAAGACUACUUUAACGAAGAAAGCAUAACAAAAAUGCAUAAGAACUAGCUAACUAAGGCGCAUAAUUAUGCUCCUAUCAGAAGGGUUGCUAAUCUACUUAAAACUGACUCAAAAACACAAAACUAGGCUUGAAAACACUUAACUAGACUCAAAGAACUCAAAACAAACUACAGAGACUCAAAACACCACAAAUCAAUCAAAUAGACUCAAACUAGACACUAAAGGGUGAUUUGGACGAAAAUUGAUUUUUACUUGACUCAAAACAUUUAAAAACACAAGUUUGGACAGAUUCUGACUAGUUUGACACAACAAAGUAAAGGGGAUUGGGUUUUUGACGAAUUUAAAGUAAAACCAAGUAGAUUAAAGACUUAAACAAGUUUAGCACGAAAUUGGGGAAAAUUAUGGGUGAUUGGCUAGCUAGAGGGUUCUUCUCCACACAUGACACACUUGCAUACAAAUCGAUUUCUAGUUACUUUUCCAAUAAACCAUAAACCUCAAUGCCCCAGAUUAACCGUGAACAACACUAAUUAACCCUCAAAUUUUCCUUAAGUCAUUGAAUUGGAUGGAUAACGCAUUGGCAACCAAAUUAUUCUUCAAUAGUUCCCUACAUGAACAGCAUAAUAGAGAUACAAUCAAAGAUCAUUAAGCUUUGUGAAAAUCAUAAGCAUUGACAAGACAUUCAUAACUAUGAACAACAUGAUACUCCUGUUAGGAAUUCACUUAACACGAUUGUGACUAGCAACCUCGACUACUUACGAAUAUAAGUUCAUAACGAUAGGUGAAACUCCCUUAUAUUCUAGCAUCAAAUUCAUGCAUGCAAACUAAGUAUGCAUCCUUAAUCAACAAACAAGAAUAAGUUCUGAAUCAAACAAUUAAGUAAAUUGCAUUCACGAUUUAUAAAAUCACAACUGGAAGUAAUCAAUUGAUAUUGCAAAUAUAUUCAUGGCUUUGAAUUUCCCCUAGCUAAAACAAGUUUAGCUCCUCAUGUUCGCAAAACAAAGAUAAUUAAACUUAAACAUUGAAAACAAAAAGAUGGAUUACACCUCAGAAUGUUCCAACAAUCCAAUUUGAUUGGCAAACACGUCCAAGGGUCCUCCUCCUUCUUCUUUGCUGUGGCACAAGGUGUGGGUGUAGGUUUGAGUGAUGAAUUGUAUGAAAGGAUGGCUGAAAGUAUGAAUGGUAGUGAAUGGAUGGUCUAAAAGUUGCAGCAAGGCUCUUUAUUUAUAUGAGAAGGAAGGGGCACGACUAGGAAUUAAAUUGGGAAGAGUUUAAGACUCCAAAUCCUCCAAGAAAAGGGUAACAAAUCAGAAUCCCAAGAGGAAAAGAGUAAGUGAUAUGCGGCAAGCCUAGAAAGAAAGGGGAAUGAGACUUCCUUGCAUGGCAAGGAAGGAUUCCUUGCAGAUUUGGUGUGGCAAGGGUUAAAAGGAAUGGGAAAUUGGUUUGCUUAUGCGGCAAGGGGAAGGAAAUGGGAAAUAGGCAAGGACAAUGCGGCAAGGGAUUUUAGGAAUGUAAUUAGGUCUGAAUUUAAGUCUCCUAAUUUAAUUAAAGAUCCUCCGUGCAGAUGGAAAUUAAGUGGUGAAGGAUUAGGAAAGUUUAGGACAAAAUAAGGUAACUUUGGCUAACAUUCCUUCUUUCUUGCUUGCAUCCUUUACUUCCUUUUCUUGAAUUAAUUUCUUCAUAACUUCAGCAUAAUCCUAGCCUCUUUUGGUCUUCAAAUUCGUCCAUCCACCUUGCUCUGUGCAUGUGCUAACCAUUCCAAGCCCAAAACUGCUCCAAAAUGCACUUUCUUGCUACUUUAGCCCUUUGGACGUACAAACACAUGAAAAUAGCUUAAAAUACUAAAAUAACUAUGAACUAACAAUAUAAAUGUAAGAAAACAAGCUCACGAAGUCGCAUAAAUAUGCUCCUAUCACAUCACUCCAUUCUCUCUCUUGGCCCAUUUUGUGUGUGUGUUUGUGUUAAUUCUCAUUUUGCUUUUAGUUGUCAUACAACUUAAACUUAAUGGGCCCUGUGGACCAAAACUGAUAGGAGCAUAUUUAUGCGACUUAAUUGGCUUGUUCUCGUGCAUUUACGUUGUGUUUCCUUAGUUAUUUUAGUGUUUAAAGUCACUUUUGUGUGUUUUCAGAUUCUAAGGGCAAAGGAUGCAAUUUGGUGCCUUUUGGAGAAAAUUGGGCUUGGAAUGAUUAUCACAAGCUUGGAGCAAAAGGAAUGGACGUAAUUGAAGAUUUGAAGAAGUUUGGAUUCCUAAUCAACGAAGGAUUCCUAAUUGAAGAUGGAUUCCUACUCCAACAAGGAUUCCUACUUGAAAUAGGAAAGUUAAGCCAAGGUUUCCUACUUUGGUUUGACCUUUCCUAAGUGUCCCUAAGUUUUAUCAACUUUGAAGGCCUCCUAAGUAUUCUAGGACAUCAAGCACACAUUUCUUGAAUGGUCUAAGUCAAUGCCGCACCUCACAUGCCCUUUCCACAAUCCCUCUUCCUUGCCGUGCAAGGGAACCCUUUCCCUUCAAUUUUAGGACAUUUAAACCUUUCCCUAAACCUUUCCUACAUCACAGCCGCACCCCCUUAACCUUUCCUCUUCCUUGCCGUGCAAGGGAGAGGGUUCUUUCCUAUUUCCUUGCAUUAAAACACAUUCCUUUUGUGUUUUAUGCCCUUGCCGCAUAUCCCUUGCACUUUCCUUUAGUUUUCUGAUUUGAUUUCCUAUUUCUAGAAGCUUUUGACCUAAUUUCUGUUUACCAAAAUAACCUAGGGUUUUAAUUCCUGAAAUCCUUUCAAUAAACUUCCUUUGUGCAGCCACAAAGAAUCCAUUCAUUCACCAUUCACGCUAGAAAGCUAUCCCUACUCUCUACCACAUCCAUACUUCACCAUUCAUCAUAUUUUCUGCCCAGAAACAACCCUUGCCAUCCCUUACAUUCAUCCUAACCUUAAUUCCAUCCUUCUACAUCAUCCAUAACUCCUUAAACUCACCCCCAACCCUUGUGCCGCAGCAAAGGAGAGGAAGAAGAAGUGCUUGAAGGUUCUAGUUGUUCAACAUUGAAUCGUUGGAGUAUUUAGGUGUUCUCUUUCUUAUAUUUACAAUGUAUAAAUCUUUUUUCCUUUGUUUUGUGAACAUGAGGAACUAAGCCUUUUUGGCUAAGGGCUAUUCAAUACCAUGAUUAUGCUUGCAAGAUGAAUUGAUUACUUCUAAUUGUUAUUUCAUGAAUUGUGAAUGCAAUUUGCUUAACCGUUUGAUUGAUGACUUAUUUUUGUGUGUUCAUUAAGGUGGCCAACUUAGUUUUCAUGCAGGAAUUUGAAGCUAAAAUAUAAGGAAGUUUCACCUAAUAGUUACAACCUUAUAUUUACAAGUAGUGGAUGUCGCUUAUAAACGAUCGUGUUAAGUGAAUUCUUGGCAAACGUUUCAUGCUUUUCAUAGUAACAAUUGCCUCGUCAAUGCUUAUAGUUUUCAUGAAGUUUAAUGAUCUUUGAUUGUACCUUUAUUGUGCUUUUCACGUAAGGGACUUUUAGAGAAUGUUUUGAGUUGUUGUAUGUGCAUUCCCAUCCAAUUCAAUAACUUAAGGAAGACUUGAAGGUUAAAAAAGUGCUAUCACAGUUAACCUAGGGCAUUGAGGUUCAUGGUUUGUUGAAAGAAGCAAUUGGAAAUCAACUUUGUAUGCAAGUGUGCCAUGUGUGGAGAAGAACCCUCUAGUUAGUCUAUCACCCAUCAAUUCACCUAGUUUUGUCUAAGAAUCUGUUUACAUUGUUCUUGUCGUAAUUUACUUAUUUUCGUCCAAAAUCAACCCCUGAUGUGAAAAUUAAUUUGACACACAAAUUAAACCCUAUGGAUGACAAUUGUAGUAUAUGAGAAAAUAGGGAUCGUUCUAACCGGGGAUUAACUAGGGAUGCUAAUCAGUGUAAAACUGACUCAAGAACAUAAAAAUAUAAUGUAGAACACUAAACUAGACUCAAUUAAUGCAAAACUAGGGUU